rnacentral:rRNA from 1 species
UACAUGGGGUGCAAACGUUGCUCGGAAUUAUUGGGCGUAAAGCGCGCGUAGGCGGUUACUUAUGUCGGAUGUGAAAGCCCUCGGCUUAACUGAGGAAGUGCAUUCGAAACUGGGGUAGCUAGAGUACUAAAGAGGGUCGCGGAAUUCCCGGUGUAGAGGUGAAAUUCGUAGAUAUCGGGAGGAACACCGGUGGCGAAGGCGGCGACCUGGGGUAGAUACUGACGCUGAGGCGCGAAAGCGUGGGGAGCGAACGGG